GCGUAAAACCGCAUAGAAGUAAACGGUUGGUGCUGACAUUGUUUCUGCUGAAUUCAGCUGGUCUGACGGUUGACCGUCUGCAUGCCGAUCGCAAGACGGUGUGUAGAGUGUGCUCGAUCUAGGGCUGGUGCAUUUUCGGUAGAAUGCAUCAUGACCGCUGGCGCUGCUGGCAUAAGGCUGGUUGGUUGCCGUCUGCAGGUUUUCGGACUUGUAGUGCCCCACCUUCCGUGUCCUGUCCGAGUUAGCGUCAGCGGAUAACUGGACGUGCCCGACUAUGUCUCAUCUUGUGCUUUACGUUGGCUGAACGACCCGUCGAACCGUGCUUGCACGGCUUGGCAACCCUCAGUCUUCGUAGGGUGCCUGCUUGAGGCGGCACUGAAGGUCUAUGGUGUCCGCGUCAGUCUCCCAACCGACCCGUCUUGAAACACGGACCAAGGAGUCUAACAUGUGCGCAAGUCAUGGGGUUGAAAACCCAAAGGCGUAAUGAAAGUAAAGGCCGCAAGGCUGAGGUGUGAUGGUCGGUUUAACCGGCCCGCAACACCGCCCCAUCGCAUCGGCUCGUCCGGGCGGUGGAGGAAGAGCGUACACGUUGGGACCCGAAAGAUGGUGAACUAUGCCUGAGCAGGAUGAAGCCAGAGGAAACUCUGGUGGAGGUCCGUAGCGGUUCUGACGUGCAAAUCGAUCGUCAGACUUGGGUAUAGGGGCGAAAGACUAAUCGAACCAUCUA
rnacentral:rRNA from 1 species